CACCUGCUUCGAUGAUCACCUUCGAGGUGGAACACCUCCCAUUUGGGUAUCUCCUCUGCUGGUUCUCCAGGCUCUCAUUAAAAGAAAUACUUGUGAGCAUUUCUUUCCAAGGACUUAUCUACAGUAUCCCCAAGGACUAUUCCAUCCUAACAUGUCUUAAGUCAAAAUGUAUGUGGAACCACUGUGGAAACUCAUAAGACACAACAGACCACAAAGGCAUUAAUAAGCAGCUGAGACCAGCUGUAAAUAUUCAUCUCAUCUACUGCUGACAGUGCUAUCUCAAAGAUUUCAAAGAGCCUGAAAAAAGUAGACUCCUUCGUUUAAAAAAAAAAAGAAAAAGAAAAAG